rnacentral:snRNA from 1 species
AGAGGUGAUCUGGAUCUGGCUGAGACAUCUGUAAUCCCAUUGGUUCAUUCAGAGGAUCUGGAUGGCUAGGUGUGUGUCUCCUCCUUCCCUUGCUGCUCUACUCCAUGUACAUCCUUCCUGAAACUGUACUCUCCACGAAAGAGGAAGAUUUCCCCUUGAUAGAUCAGGAUCAUUCUUUGGUUCAGGGUACAACAAGAGCUGCACUUCUCCACCAAAACCUCAGAACAAGGUCUCAAAGGGCUGUGUUGGAAAUCAUGCCCUCAUGUAAAAUGCAGCAAUCAAUAUCUCCAAUGCAGGGGUUUU